rnacentral:lncRNA from 1 species
GCGUUUGCAUUCUCGGAUUCACUACAUACAUUUUUUUACGGUGAAUCAGUUGCUGAUAGUGUUUCUAUUCUAUAUUUUGGAAAAUUUAAAAGGACAUUGAGCAGUAUUUAUUUAUAUGACUACCAUUGCUAGGAAUUGUAUCAGAUUUACACAAACAAACUAGAAGCCAAACAAAAUGAUACUGAUCAACCUUCACGUGAACCUAAUAAUCCUUAAUCUAGAAUUAACAGCACAAUAUACAGUCAUUUAUUAUCAGUCAUUAUGAAAUUAAUCAACAAGCAUUACCCUAAUUAACCGUCCAAAUUAAUACAUGUCACACCAUCACAGUGCAGUCCCUCAUUUACAGUCCAAUUUCAAGUUCAUAUCCAGUUGCAUUAGGAAAUUAACUAAAUUAUACAAGAUCAUUCAUUAAUAGGAUAAAUCAAACAAUAGAUCUAAAGUAAAACUUCAAUUCCAUUUCAUUUUUCCAAGAAAGGGAACCAACAUCAAUACAAGCUCGAAUGUGUACCUGAGGGAAAAAGCAAAACUUCAAUUCCAUUUCAUUUUUCCAAGCAAGAGAACCUACAUCAACACAAGCUCGAAUGUGUACCUGAGGGAGAAUAAGAGAUGGAGAAGAAAUCAGCUCGAGCAGUGAAGAACAACAGUAAUAGCAAACAACUUCCAAUAACAGAGCAACAACCCAAUCCAAAAUAAUUCCAGAAAUCCAGCAAACUUGAGGAUAACCUAGAAAAUUCACUUAAAGCUUAACCCAUACACAAUUGAAAACUCAGCAGCAACAACAAACAACCAAAAUAGACUUGAAUGAACCCAACAUUUGUUUGAAAUCCAGUGUGAAUCAACCAGAAACUUGAACAGGCCAACAGGGCAACCCAGAAAUGCAAAUUAUGAACUAGAGUAUCAAAACAAACCUACAGUCUAUUGAAACAGUACAUUUUGGUCUUUUUUUAGAGGAAUUUUUGUUGUUUUUUGGUUUUUUUUUUUGAAUUCAAGGAAAACUAAAGGCUAAUUUAUGAACUAAACUUCAACUUCUAAAGCCGAAAACUGAGCAGUAUAUUUGGAAAUUUUUGGCUGAAAGAGAAGACCCCUUUUACAAGGCAUUUAAUGCUUUUUUAUAGCAGCAAAAUAGGGCAGCCCCCAAAUUUCAGUUUUUUUACUAUUAGUCCCUAUUCAUUUUCACUUUAACCCCUCAUUUUCUGACUUGUUUCCGAAGUAACUACCUUAGUUUUAUUGACAUCUACACUACAGCCCUAUUGCAGGGCAGCCCCCAAAUUUCAGUUUUUCACUAUUGGUCCCUAUUUAUUUUUCACUUUAACCCCUCAUUUUCUGACUUGUUGCCUAAGUAAAUACCCUAAGUCUAUUGAAAACUACACACUAGUCCUAUUCUAGAAGAUUCUAGGGCACUCUUUGAGAAAGACGAUCCCUAAACAACCCUUUCCCUAUUUCAUAUUUAUUGUUUUGAAAGAUUCUGCCAUUUUCUAUGCCUAAGCUACCCUUGUAACUGCCCCAAAAUUACGUCUCAUAUUAACUGACCCAAUCUUCAACCCCUAGUUAAAAUUCAAACCCAAGUUAAACUAACGACCAAUCCUCUCCAAUUAACACCAAUUCAAACUACUUAUAAAGAACUAAAUAAUAUAAAUAAAACCUAAUUAACUAAUUUUUCCAAAACUGAAGUUAACACUAAAAAUUAUAGCAGAAUAAUUAACUCAAAAGUUAUGGAAAAGAAUUUGAAUCAGAAGGAAAAACAGAAGUAAGAAUUCAACAAACACAUAAUUGAACCUACGACUAAACUCAUAUAGGAAAGUCGUCUAAGAUUCGAGACGAAUAAAAAAUUGAAUAAAUGAAUUAGAAAGACAGUCUAAACAGAAGACUAGAAUUCAGAAAUCGAAACUAAAAGGCAAUUCAAUUAAUCAGAAGUAGAGCCCUAAGAAAGAAUUAACAUGCCAACUUAAAAAAUUAAGCAGAAUCUUUUGAGGUAAUUAACUAACGAUAACGCGAGAAGAGAAAGCAAGAAUCAAACCAAGAAAACUAAUAAUGAACAUUACAGAGUACUCACUCGAGAGUUCUGACCGGAACGGCUAACCGGAAUCGUAGUCUGGUUAAUGUUAUUGAUUUAUUAAAGUCAAAAUAAGCCAAUAACACUAACGAGAAUACGAUUCGGCUUCAAGACCUUUGAAUGAACCCCCUAACGGAUGAACCCCCGGCCUUGCCAUUCAUCGAGCUUCAACAGAGUUUGGGGUUUGACAUUCCAACGAAACAUGGGAAGGGAAGUCAGGGAUGCGCUUGGUAUUAAUUCCAUGAGGUUUGAGGGUGAAUUAGGGUUUUCAAUCAACUUACAGAUUUGAAAUUCCGGGCUCUUGGCUGGGAUUUGUGAGAAAAUGGUAGUAGGAAUGGAAUGAGGAUAAGGUGAGGAGUAUGUAGUAUAAUUUUGGGGGCGAUUGGAGCUCCGCUGCCGGCAGAGGCGAUUUCCGACGGCGGUUUGAUGGCGGAUUAACAGAGGGGCUUCGAUGAAGAUGAAGGGUACGAGGAGGGUGGGUUUUGUCGGUUAAAAUAAAUGUGUGUUAGUACAUAUAUAUGUAAAACACUCUAUGAAUCCAUGGUCGUCAAUUCUGAGGGAUAACGGUUGAGAUCACAAGAUCGCUAGCUGAACGACGUCGUUUUGACUUGGGUGAGGGACCAGGUUAGGGGAAUGGACAUUAGGCU